GGUUGACCUCGGAUCAGGUACGGAAU
rnacentral:rRNA from 1 species